UUGAGUUCUAGGGUUUCUGUCUCUCUUCUCUGUUAAUCUUUCUAUGUUUGAGAGAUUGUUCUUCUCCUCCCAUGUUCCUGCGUGUGUGUAUACACUGAGUCUGUGAGUGACGGAGAUUGUGAGUGAGGAAACUUCUGGUUUCUGGUCUAAGGGAUCUGACUAGUGGUAGUGAAGUUUUCUUGUGACUCUGAGGAGAUUCAGCCGUGGUGAUUUGCUGGAGCUAAGGUGCUUGACCUUGACUGCAGUCUGCGGGAUUGUUCAAUCUAGGGUUCUUGUGGAUGCUGUGAAGCAGAUCUUGAUUUGCUAUAUUUUCUCCUUGAGGGGCAAAUCAAUCGGUGAACAAGGAAUUGAGGGUCGGAUAUUUUACACCUGUGCGGUUGUACCUGGUGCAAUUUGAGCCUAUGAUUAAUCUUUGAUCCUUUGGAUAUUUCUUUGUUGAUUAACUGUUGUUAGCUUGCCUUUUUGGUUUGAGGUGAACGCAUUUGAUGUGUGCGUUAAGUGUUGCAGGUUAGAUCGAUUGAAGACUGAGGACUGAAGAUCUAGCAGUUCUAUAGCUAGAUCUGUUGUAACAUCUUGUAAUCUUGGUUACCUUUUUGGUUUUAGGGAUCAGCCGAGUGUCUCAGUCCCUUCGACGGACUAAUCUGGAGUUUGGCUACUUCUGAUCUCUCUGACUCCAUUCCUGGUUCCACUGCCUGAACUUCUGCUGUUUUGGUUGAGGGUUUUGUGUUGGUUUCUUGUCUGGCUUAUUUAGUUGGUGUUGAUCCUACUGGUUUUGUUUUACUUCGAGUUUUAAGUCUCAAUGAGAAGUUUUAAAACGUGUGGUUGCAACAGGCUGAGAGUCUCUGUCAGUGACCCCCUGCGCCCUUGAUUAAUGGAGUGCUUGUGAACUGGGAAAUUAUGACGUAGAUGCUCUGUUGUGUAAUUUGUUGUUGUGCUUGUUGUUUCUUGGAGUCAAAUUCUUCCAGCAGCUUCUUUCCUCUCUUGUUAUCUCUUUCUCUUUUCUGGUUUCCUGAGUUUGCUGUGUUUGUUUAUUCUAUAAUGUCUAACAUUCCUUUUGGUCAUGUUCCCUUCAAUGGGAAAGGGAAUUUCAACAUUUGGAAGUAGAAAUUGAAGUGUGUUCUUGUCCAGCAAAAAGUCUACUCCACCAUUGAUGACCCUGCCAAACAGGCUGAGAUAAAUGAGUUAGCAUGUUCUACUAUCUUCUUGAACUUAAGUGAUUCCGUUAUUAGAAAAGUUGGUGUUGUUGAUAAUGCAAAGGCUCUUUGGGAUAAGCUUGAUGAGUUGUUUACUGAAACUUCUCUAUCUAACCACAUGUAUAUGCUUGAAAAACUUUUUAAGUACAAAUUAGACCUGUCUAAGGAUAUAGAUGAAAAUCUUGACUGUUUUUCAAAGCUUGUGUUAGAUAUUAAGAGAUCUGGUGAUAAGAAUAUUGAUGAUUAUACUAUCAUUGCUCUUAUGAAUUCAAUUCCUGAUUCCUAUAGUGAUGUUAAGGCAACAAUCAAGUAUGGAGAGACAAUGUCACACUGGACAUGAUUGUUAGUGCCUUAAAAUCAAAGAAACUGGAAUUAAAAGAGAAGUCUGAUACUAAAGCUGCUCUUGAUAAGGCUUUGCAGGUCAGGGGUAGAUCCAACGCCAAGGCAAAUGAUAAACAAUCUAAUGAUAAAUCCUCUGACAAGGGAAAUAAGAAGGGUAACAAAGGUAAAUCCAUGUCUUCCUCUCAAGACUAUAAAAAGUCUAAGAGGUGCUUCAAAUGUCAUGAACUUGGACACUUUAGUAAGGAGUGUCCAAUGAAAAAGAAUAAAAAUGUAGAUUAUUAAAAUGUGGUAAGCCUGGUUAAAACUGAUGAUGAAAAUGGUACCUGCUUCAUGCAUUGUGAUGUUACUUCUGUGAAUGUUUCCAUGAAUACUGAUUUCAACAAGUCUGAAUGGCUUGUAGAUUCUGCCUGUACUUAUCAUAUUUCUCCUUUCAAAGAGCUUUUUUCUGAGUUAACUCUUGUGACUAAUGGUUUUGUGUCUAUGGCAAACAAUAAACAGUGCAGAAUUAAAGGCAUUGGAAAUGUAUGCCUAAGGUUUAACUCUAGUACUACCCAUACUUUGAAAAAUGUGAAAUAUGUGCCCAGCCUGUGCUAUAAUCUCUUGUCUCGCUCUGCCCUGGAAUCUGAGUGGCUUGAGGGAAGAUGGGGGAAUGGAGUUAUGAAAAUCUUUAAGGGUUCCCUAUGCAUGUUCAAAGCUGAUAAGAAAAAUAAUUUGUAUGUUUGCACUGCUCAGCCCUUAUGUGAUUUACAUGUUGCCAAUGCUGUUAAAAUGAAUAACAUUGUUCUUUGGCAUAAUAGACUUGGCCAUAUGAGUGAAAAAGGCAUGCAUAUCCUGUGUAAAAGUGGUCUUUUAACUGAUAAUGAUGUGUCCAUGCCCUUGCCUUUCUGUGAUACUUGUGUUAAGGGAAAACAACAUAAAGUUUUUUUCCCUAAUUUUGUGCCUACCUGUUCCAGCAAUGAUAUUCUUCAAUAUUUGCAUGCUGAUGUUUGGGGGCCUGCUUCUAUCACAACUAAUGGGGGGUGCUCUUAUUUCUUGUCUAUUGUUGAUGAUUUUUCAAGGAAAGUGUGGGUGUAUCUUUUGAAAAACAAAUCUGAUGUUUUUGAAAAAUUCAAGAACUGGAAAUGCUUUAUUGAAAACCAAACUGGGAAGAAGAUUGGAACCCUUAGGACUGAUAAGGCCUAGAAUUCUGCAACUCCCAAAUGAAUGACUUGUGCACCAUGUCUGGUAUUAGGAGACAUAGGAAUGUUCCUUAUACACCUCAACAAAAUGGGGUUGUAGAAAGAAUGAAUAGAACUUUGCUGGAUAGGGUUAGAUGUCUUCUUUCUUUAAGUGGUUUGUCAAAAAAGUUUUAGGGUGAAGCUAUUACCACUGCUACCUAUUUGGUAAAUAGAUCCUCCUCUGUGCCCUUAAAAGGAAAGUGCCCCGAGUCUGUUUUUUGGGGAAAACCUGUGAGUCUUUCACAUCUGAGGGUUUUUGGGUAUACUAUUUCAUUCACUCAAAAACUGAUAAAUUAGAACCAAGGUCUAGAAAAUGUGUUUUUUUGGGUUAUCCUGAUGGUGUGAAGGGCUAUAGGAUCUGGCUUAGGGAUGAGCCUAGUUUUAAAGUUUCUAUUAGCAGGGAUGUGAUUUUUAAUGAAUCUGAGUUUCCUUGCUUGGUUGAUUCUGUUGUCCCUAAGUCCAAUGAUACUUCAAAUGAGGUGGAGCCUGCCUCAAGUGAGGUGGAGUCUGCCUCAAAUGAGGUGGAGGUUUCUGUGCCUUAUGAGUUUGUGCAAUCUGACAGUUUUUUGCAGGAUGACUCAGAACCAGACAUAGAGAAUGUUGGUCCCCAACCUGAUCCAGCUGAGACUCAAGGCUCUCCUGACACAAUGCAAUCUGAUUCUGAUAUUGUUUCUCCUAACUAUGUUUAGGCCAGGGAUAGGGCAAGGAGGACAAAUGUUAGACCACCCAAUAGGUGGAGUGAUGAGUUGAACUUGAUAGCCUUGGCUUUCAAUGUUCAUGAAUCAGAUGGAAAUGAACCACGUUCAUACAAGCAGGCUCUUAAGUCCAUGUUUUAUCCUAAGUGGCUGAUAGCCAUGGAAGAUGAAAUGAAGUCUCUAAUUUUGAAUAAAACUUGGAUUUUGGUUCCUAAACCUAAAGAUUGUACUAUUGUUGAGUGCAAGUAGCUGUUUAAGCUGAAGCAGGAGGUCAAUGGCUUGAGAAACAAAGCCAGGAUGGUUGCUAAGGGAUUCACUCAACAAGAGGGGGUAGAUUACACAAAAAUCUUUGCUCAUGUGGUAAAAUUUACAAUUGUUAGGUUAAUGCUUGUUUUGUGUGCUUAUUUUGACUGGGAUCUCAAACAAAUGGAUGUUAAAACUGCUUUUUUUACGUGGUGAUCUUGACAAGCCUACUUAUAUGAGUCAACCUGAAGGGUUUGUUGACCCUAAAUACCAUGAUCAUGUUUGCCUCUUGAAAAAGGCCUUGUAUGGUUUGAAGCAGUCACCUAGGAGAUGGAAUAUUAAGUUUGAUCAAUGUAUGAAAUCUAUGGGUUUUACUAGAAGUGCUUUUGAUCACUGUCUUUAUUUUAAAUAUCUCCACUUUGUGCCAACUUUUCAGUUGUUAUAUGUUGAUGACAUGCUUAUUAUGAGUCCUAGUUCUGCUGCUGUCAAAAGUGUUCAAGAUAUGUUGAGUACUAACUUUGAUACGAAGGAUCUAGGACCUGCACAGAAAAUUCUGGGCAUUGACAUUGUCAGAAACAGGAAGAAAAGGGAGCUGACUCUUCACCAAAGCUCUUAUGUAAAAAAGAUUCUCAGUAAGUUUAGUAUGAUGGAUGCCAAGCUAUCCACUGUUCCCUUGGCUGCACAUUUCAUUCUCAGUAAGGACUAAUGUCCAAAAAAUGAGAGUGUGAUCCAAAUGAUGAAGAGUGUACCCUACUCUAAUGUUGUUGGGUCUGUAAUGUACUUGAUGGUGAGCAAAAGGCCUGACAUUGCUUACUCUGUGUCAUGCCUAUCAAGAUACAUGGCCAAUCCAGGGCAGCCUCAUUGGGAAGCUCUCAAGUGGUUACUGAGAUACCUAAAACAUACUGCUCAUUAUGGUUUGAAUUUUUUCAAGUGUACAAAUGAUACUAACCUUUGUGGUUUUGUAGAUUCAAACUAUGCAAAUGACAUGGAUAAGAGGAAGUCCACAACCUCUUAUGUAUUUACACUUGGUGGAUCUUGUAAGCAAUGAAGGAAGCUCUUUGGCUGAAGGGUGUUAUGAGUGAACUGAAGUUUCUCAAGCAGCCUAUUGUGGUUUUUUCUGACAGCCAGUGAGCCAUACGAGUGUGCAAAAUUCAUGUGUUUCAUGACAAGACUAAGCACAUAAAUGUCAGAUUUCAUUUCAUCAGAGAUAUAGUGGAGAAAGGUGAGGUCCUGCUAGAAAAGAUCCACACUGAUCAUAAUCCAAUUGAUAUGGGGACAAAGUGUCUCUUAGUGGAAAAGAUGCUCUCCUGCAUCAGGAAGCUUCAUAUUGAAUCUGGAUAGGUAAAAUGGCCAGGUAUACUCCCUUUGUGUAUUAUCUUACUUUGCUAUACUUGUAUAACUGUGGUAGAUAUACUAUGGGGAUGAUGUCUGCUUAGUCCUGACUUGGCAGGCAUCAAUAGGCAAUGAUGAAAGGCACAGGCCAAAUGCCUCACCGGUUUGAUAAAGCCCAAAGUGGGGAAAUGUAAUAUAGUGGGCCUAUUUAGUUGGGCCAGUCUGCUUCACAUAUAACCAGCCCAAGAGUUGCAGCCUGCUGGAGUAAAAGGCCUUAGCCCACUACACUUGUUGAGCCCUACACAUGGCACUCUUUGAUAGGGAUGUGAGGGUUGUGUCAUUUAUAUACCACUUGCUCUCUCUCUUCCCAUACACUUCUAUGAUGCACCUCUUGAGUUCUUGGGUUUCUGUCUCUCUUCUCUGUUAAUCUUUCUGUGUUUGAGAGAUUGUUCUUCUCCUCCCAUGUUCCUGCGUGUGUGUAUACACUGAGUCUUUGAGUGACGGAGAUUGUGAGUGAGGAAACUUCUAGUUUCUGGUCUAAGGGAUCUGACUAGUGGUAGUGAAGUUUUCUUGUGACUCUGAGGAGAUUCAGCCGUGGUGAUUUGCUGGAGCUAAGGUGCUUGACCUUGACUGCAGUCUGCGGGAUUGUUCAAUCUAGGGUUCUUGUGGAUGCUGUGAAGCAGAUCUUGAUUUGCUAUAUUUUCUCCUUGAGGGGCAAAUCAAUCGGUGAACAAGGAAUUGAGGGUCGGAUAUUUUACACCUGUGCGGUUGUACCUGGUGCAAUUUGAGACUAUGAUUAAUCUUUGAUCCUUUGGAUAUUUCUUUGUUGAUUAAUUGUUGUUAGCUUGCCUUUUUGGUUUGAGGUGAACGCAUUUGAUGUGUGCGUUAAGUGUUGCAGGUUAGAUCGAUUGAAGACUGAGGACUGAAGAUCUAGUAGUUCUAUAGCUAGAUCUGUUGUAACAUCUUGCAAUACUUGUGUAAUCUUGGCUGAUUGAGACCUUACAUACACAAUAACUAAUAUUCCAAAGAUGGCCAACACCUCCGCCCUUUUCUUCGCCGCUCUCUUCCUCUUGGCCGUCGCGAGCCCUGCUCGGGGUGCUGGCAUCUUCUUGAACGGCCUCACCGUCAAUGGCCAGCUCUGCUGCACAUCCACCGGAAACUGCCCCGGCCAAGGCGUCGACGGCGUGCCAGUUGUAUUGAAUUGCACCAAUAUUUUUGGCAGCACCACCACCGCCGGUCGAACCACCACCACCGACACCGGAUCCUUCAAAUUUACUAUCCCACUUGUGGGGCUCAUUUUUGGCAACAUUAUUCCUUGCACGGUGGGAGUUUUAUCUUCCGCUGCGCUCUCCGCCACCACCGGGACCCUCUCCACCGUGCAGUCCGUCGGCACGGUGGUCACGGGCGUGUUGGGGCUGCUUCAGAACGCUACUAUCACCGGGUUCAGCCAUUUGGGAGUGUAAUUGCAAAUGCAUCAAUAUUGCAUGCAUUUUGCAAUUUACAAUUUAAUUUAUACUACUAUCUAUUUGUGUUACACUUACAAUUUACAAUUUACUACUUAUCCAAAUUAUACAUUUUGUACUUAUGUUUUCUAUUUCCACCUGCCGUUUAAUAAACAUGUUGCACUAUAAUUUGGCUUGACCUUA